UCAGUGGGCGUGUCAUGGUCUGUCAUGUGACUAACACGCGAGGUUACUGUGUGUCAAAGCUGUUCCUGCCUGGCUUUAUUAGCCUAUAAGGAAUCAGAUGUAAGAGCAUUUUGUCAUCGUGGUGUGAUCCACCUCGGACCAAACAGAUGAUUGAUAAAAUACAUAGCGCAUUAGCCAUUACAUACGCAUAUACACAUGCCUGUUGAAGACCGUAACAAUGUUAUUACCGAAGUAAAUACCACUUAAUUGCUUAGUAGGCUAUGCAGUGCCAAGGACUCGAUACUAAUACGACUCUUGGAUACAAAUGUAUGGUUAACGUUAAUAGCGCAUAUCCAAGAAGAACCAUCCACUUCCAAAUAGUCACCAUAUAAAGGAAGCCUCGUUGGGCUAGAACCCAGGCCAUCUUUAUCGGUUUAUCUCUUUGCGUCCUCCACCAUAGUUAUCCCCAAUCACCUUGCUUACGUCUGACCUACAAGCCUCCCAGUUGGGGGAGGACAUUGCGCAGCGUGGCUAGCUAGCUAGGUGAAGUCGGAGGAAACCUCGGGGAUGAUGCUCGAAUAGAGUAGGAAGAAAAACCGCUACCGGCUGCGCUCUUUCAGAGAUAAACUAUGAACUGGUUGGACGUCGUCUGUCACUGACGAGGUCUCCCCACUGUGCUGCUUCGUGUAAAAUAAAACCGGCGCCCCCUUAUCUUCCAGAUUGUCGGCGUGUCACUGCAGUCGAUGCUGCAUCUUUUCUCCCCCUUUUUUUUUUUAUACCGGUACCGUGUGCUGCGACAGCAGACUCAAUGAGACAGACAUGCUCGCCUUCGUAUUGGUCUCUGGGUCGCUGUGGAUUAUAUUAGUAUGAAAAUGGAUGCCACACUUUACGCUAAAACAAGUUGAGAGUCUGAAGAAAAAAAAGCAGCCUCGUAGUCUGACUACAUAUUUCAAGGUAUGACUUGUUUAGUGCCUUUCGAGUUCAUAUCGUGAAGUCUCAUGAAUGGGAAAGUUUGUUCUUUGUCCGCUGUCAACGAAAUCCACCCAAAGCACAUUUAGUUAAGAAUACAACCACAACAGAUGCGUUUCGUUAGCCCAUUAAAAAUUCAUUAGCCAUGCAAGUUUAGGGUUACAUCCCAAAUCCAACUUCAUAUAUUGUAUGUUAUUAGUCAAAUCGUUGUCUAUAAUUCAAUUAAAUCAAUAGAAGUAUUUUGGUCUGCACUUCAUUUGAUGUGUCAGUGCCCAUGCAGUGAUGUUUUAUAACUGUUUGAGUGGCUCUAAAAGCUGUCUCAGCAUCCAAUGCAUUCUCCUUCUUGCUAUGUGCUGUAUUGGUCUAGGACUAUUGAUGCAGACAAAAGUGCUGAGCAAGGUUUUCCUGAUGCCUGCUACAUGCUUAUGGUUUCAAAAUUUUCCUUGCUAUGGUACAUGAACAACAAUUACAUGUUAAAUAUUACCUAGUCAAACAAAUAGCAAGUUGCCCUACAAAUCCGAUUCACUAUAUGGUAUAUAUAUUUAAUACACUACAUAAUAAUGGACUUCAAAAUAGAUGAAGUCCCUUUACAGACUUUGUCAUCUUUAAAGUGUGUUACACAGCAGUUGCUUUGUACAUUUGACAGUCAAAUUAUCUUCCACAGACCUCUCCCAUAGAGUGAGGGAUAGUAUUUGGACAAAUUGUAAAUUUGCAUGUUUGUGUGUGUCUGUGUGUCUGUGUGUGUUUGUGGGCGUGUGUGUGCAUGCGCAUCUGUGCGUGCAUGCGUCUUCCUCCUAUUGAUAUUUCAGGGUGUGCCUUUUGGUUUUGGUUGUUUCCAAAUGUUAAGCUACAGGAUAGUAUGGACAAAAAUGGCAAACAGAGAGGGGGAGAGAAUAAAUUACACGACACGCUACCUUUAGUGAGAGAGUGUGCAUUGAGAACAGAGCGGGCGAGAGUGAUAGGGAGAGUGCAGAAGGAGGUGGGGGCGAGAGCAGAGCGUCUGCUGAGCUCAGGGUGGUGUGAUACGGUGGCCAGCGAGGCUCAAACUAGGCCAUAGCGCUGUUUCAUACAACCACGGUGGCGGCUUUCUGCCGCAGCUUGCCCCAGCGGUUAUCCUUCCCAUGGCAACAGGAAGGUAAGCAGCAGUCUGCGCAGGGCGCUGUAAUAUCCGUAAGACAUGCACAGAUGUACUCCACUCGCUCUGCCCGGCCACCAGCAAUACCCUCUAAGUGACCAUUUAUUUACUGUUUUAUUCCCAUCGGCCCGGCACACUCAUGCACCCUGACCCUAGCUACAUUAUAGCCUGGAGCUGGACAGAAAAACAUAGGAUCUUCCCGUGUAUCAUUUUCCUUACUUUCUUUUCCUCCUUCUUUCUUAAUUCUUGUCUGGUUCUGCAUUUAACUUUAUUUCUCGCUUUGUUUCUCAUUUGUUUGCGCUCCACCCCUCCGCCUCUCCUCUGAACACGCGACAACGAAGAGUCAUCUCUCCAGCCUUCAUUAUAUAGAAUGUGAACUGACUAUUUACUUUUCAGUCGUUUAGCGUACGAUUGUUUUCAACACCAUUCCAAGGGGUUUUAAUGAAGCAGCAUGAAAGGACCUAGUCUUCUUCCUCAAGGAUGACUAGAGCCAACUGUCUAGUUUGGGGAAGACAGUUUACUUAGUUGUAUUCAUACAGUCAGUUCCCUUUUAAGAUUGUUACAGAAAUACACACACACACACACACAUACACCCACACACACACACACACGCACACACACACACACACACAAACACACACACACACACACACACACACACACACACACACACACACACACACACACACAUACACACACACACACACACACACACACACACACACAAACACAGAAUGAACCCCCCUCACACACACACACACAUUCACACACACACACACACACACACACACACACACACACGCACACACACACGCACACACACACACACACACACACACACACAGAAAUGCACACACACACACACACACACACACACACACAUACACACACGCAUACAGACACACAGCCACAGAAACACACACACACACACACACACACACACACACACACACACACACACACACACACACACACACACACAAACAUACACACAAACACACAGACACACA